GACGAACGCUGGCGGCGUGCCUAAUACAUGCAAGUCGAACGCAGUGGGGACGGGUGCGUAACACGUGGGUAACCUCCCCUCAGAGGGGAUAACACUUGGACACAGGUGCUAAACCGCUACUGAUGGAUGGACCCGCGGUGCAUUAGCUCGUUGGUGGGGUAACGGCUCACCAAGGCCACGAUGCAUAGCCGGCCUGAGAGGGUGAUCGGCCACACUGGGACUGAGACACGGUCCAGACUCCUACGGGAGGCAGAAGUAGGGAAUCUUCGGCAAUGGACGAAAGUCUGACCGAGCAACGCCGCGUGAGUGAAGAAGGUGUUCGGAUCGUAAAACGCUGUUGGUAGAGAAGCGGUAUCUAACGAGGAAGCAACGGCUAACUACGUGCCAGCAGCCGCGGUAAUAC
rnacentral:rRNA from 1 species